AUUGAACGCUGGCGGAAUGUUUUACACAUGCAAGUCGAACGGCAGCACGGACUUCGGUCUGGUGGCGAGUGGCGAACGGGUGAGUAAUGUAUCGGAACGUGCCCAGUCGUGGGGGAUAACGUAGUGAAAAUUACGCUAAUACCGCAUACGAUCUAUGGAUGAAAGCGGGGGAUCGCAAGACCUCGCGCGAUUGGAGCGGCCGAUAUCAGAUUAGGUAGUUGGUGGGGUAAAGGCCCACCAAGCCAACGAUCUGUAGCUGGUCUGAGAGGACGACCAGCCACACUGGAACUGAGACACGGUCCAGACUCCUACGGGAGGCAGCAGUGGGGAAUUUUGGACAAUGGGCGAAAGCCUGAUCCAGCCAUUCCGCGUGCAGGAUGAAGGCCCUCGGGUUGUAAACUGCUUUUGUACAGAACGAAAAGGUUUCUACUAAUACUAGGAGCUCAUGGCGGUACUGUAAGAAUAAGCACCGGCUGACUACGUGCCAGCCGCCGCCGUAA
rnacentral:rRNA from 1 species